GUGUCAGCCGCCGCGGUAAUACCAGCUCCCCGAGUGGUCGGGACGGUUAUUGGGCCUAAAGCAUCCGUAGCCGGCCCUGUCCGUCUUCCGUUAAAUCUAACGGCCCAACCGUUAGGCUGCGGAAGAUACCACAGGGCUAGGGGGCGGGAGAGGUGGACGGUACUCCAAGGGUAGGGGUAAAAUCCUCUGAUCCUUGGAAGACCACCGGUGGCGAAGGCGGUCCACCAGAACGCGCCCGACGGUGAGGGAUGAAAGCUGGGGGAGCGAACCGGAUUAGAUACCCGGGUAGUCC
rnacentral:rRNA from 1 species